rnacentral:rRNA from 1 species
AUUGAACGCUGGCGGCAGGCCUAACACAUGCAAGUCGAGCGGAGCGGCGGACGGGUGAGUAAUGCCUAGGAAUCUGCCCGGUAGUGGGGGAUAACGUCCGGAAACGGGCGCUAAUACCGCAUACUAUCAGAUGAGCCUAGGUCGGAUUAGCGAGUUGGUGGGGUAAAGGCCUACCAAGGCGACGAUCCGUAACUGGUCUGAGAGGAUGAUCAGUCACACUGGAACUGAAACACGGUCCAGAAUCCUACGGGAGGCAUCAGUGGGGAAUAUUUGACGAUGGGGGAAAGCCUGAUCCAGCCAUGCCGCGUGUGUGAAGAAGGUCUUCGGAUUGUAAAGCUCUUUAAUUUGGAAAGCGUUACCAACAGAAUAAGCACCGGCUAACUUCGUGCCAGCCGCCGCGGUAAUAC